GACGAACGCUGGCGGCGUGCUUAACACAUGCAAGUCGAACGGUGAAGCGCCUCCCUUUUUGGUUGGUGUGGUUGAGUGGCGAACGGGUGCGUAACACUUGAGUAACCUGCCCCCUUCUUUUGGUUAACCGCAUUAAAGCUUGGCUAAUACGGGAUCUUCUGCUUCUUUCUCAUGAUUGGUCUGGGACAGCUAUUGUUUCUGUGCUCGCUGCGCUCGCGGCCUAUCAGCUUGUUGUGGGGGUGAGGGCCUUGGAAGGCGGUGCCGGGUAGCAGGCCUGAGAGGGUGGACGGUCAGAGAGGGACUGAGACACGGCCGAGACUGCGACGGGGGGCAGCAGUGGGGAAUAGGGAGCAAUGGGGGAAAGCGUGAAGCAGCGACGCGGCGGGAGGGAUGGAGGCGUUCGGGUUGUGAACCUCUUUGGGCAGUGAAGCAGGUCUGCCUCGUAUGUAGGUGGGGUGACGGUAGCUGGAAAAGAAGCGCCGGCUAAUUACGUG
rnacentral:rRNA from 1 species